rnacentral:lncRNA from 1 species
UAGCUUUUUCCUAUUGUAUGCUGUUCCCAUUUCCUAAGGAAUGGUGCUACCCACAUUUGGGCUGAUCUCACAUUAGUGAACAGUCAAGACUAACAUUGUCUAAAUAUUCUAGAUAUUGCUUUAAGACUUUUCCCAGGUAAUUCAACAUUGUGUCAAGUUGAUAAUUAAAAAUUCAGCACAGUUGUUCUAUAUAAGAUGUUGUAAAAUUUGACUGGGAAAUGAUCUUUUUCUUUUAAUAGUAAAUAUAUUGAAAAUGAACAAGAUUUUUAUAAAAAAUCCUUAAGAUACAAUAAGAUUGAUUGAGUGCCUUUGACAAGUAGAAGGAUUUGCUUUACUCUUUGUUUUUUCAAAACAAGAAAACUCCAAAAACAAAAUUUAAAUACACACACACACACGAAAAGAAUAACAAAUAAGACAAGUUUAUCUAGUUAUAUAGUUAGUAAAUUAUCUUCUAGAAAUAAGAACAAUUAUUCCAUCCUGUAUGAUUACUAAAAUUUCCCAGAACAGCCAGCUUCAAAUUCUACACAUUUAAAUUCUGAGAAUUUUAAAAUACAUACUAAUGUAUUACCCGUUGAUAUUUGUUUUCUGUCUUAGAGGUUGAUUCUAGUGUAUUAAUACAGAGAGAACCACCAAGGAAGAUGUCAAUGUACAAAUAUUUCUAGAGUCUAGAUUCUAUCUCAGUGCUAAUCAGAACCAGUGGAAUAAUGUCUUAUAAGAUAAUUGAGUUUCCCUUAGUAAUAGAAAGGAACAUUGACAAUUUUUUUUUAGAAAAAUAGAAAUCCAAGAUUUUGUGGGAAUUGUUGCUAUUAUAAGUGCUUUAAAACUACUCAUAAUUCUGUUAUUGUCACUGCAAGAGUAGAAACUUACCAAAAUUGAAAUUGCAGUCUCUUCAUAUUCACAAUUGAAAUAUUUUAGUUUUUAGUAUUAUAAGUAGCCUUUCUUUACAUAUAUCUUGUACUGACAUGAUUCACUAAUUUUCUGCAAAUAUUUCGGCUUUUAAAAUUUAACUGAAUUAUUAUGAUUAUUUUUAAUGGGCCUUUGUGGUGUUUUAGGUUCCUUCUGAAUUCUGUAUCUUUCAAGUACUGUGGAACUUUGAGAGAAGAAAUUGACCCUCUGGACUUUGGAACUAAAUAAAUUACUUGUUAGAAAGAAUACUGCCAACAGCAUAGC